rnacentral:rRNA from 1 species
GUGCCAGCAGCCGCGGUAAGACGUAGGGGGCAAGCGUUGUUCGGAAUCAUUGGGCGUAAAGCGCUCGUAGGCGGUCGAUUAAGUCGGAUGUGAAAACCCAGGGCUCAACCCUGUGCCUGCAUUCGAAACUGAUCGACUUGAAUCCAGAAGAGGCAAGUGGAAUUCCCGGUGUAGCGGUGGAAUGCGCAGAUAUCGGGAAGAACACCAGUGGCGAAGGCGGCUUGCUGGGAUGUGAUUGACGCUGAGGAGCGAAAGCUAGGGGAGCAAACAGGAUUAGAUACCCUGGUAGUCCUAGCCGUAAACGAUGGACACUAGGUGUGGGGGGCCGUUGACGCCUCCCGUGCCGCAGCUAACGCAUUAAGUGUCCCGCCUGGGGAGUACGGCCGCAAGGCUAAA